UCAAGUAAUUAAGUGCAUGUGGUGGAUGCCUUGGCAGUCAGAGGCGAUGAAAGACGUGAUAGCCUGCGAAAAGCUCCGGGGAGGCGGCAAAUAUCCUUUGAUCCGGAGAUGUCUGAAUGGGGGAACCCACCUACUUUAAGGUAGGUAUUGCAACAUGAAUACAUAGUGUUGCAAGGCGAACGAGGGGAAGUGAAACAUCUCAGUACCCUUAGGAAAAGAAAUCAAUUGAGAUUCCCUCAGUAGCGGCGAGCGAACGGGGAUCAGCCCAUUAAGUUAUGUGUGUUUUAGUGGAACGCUCUGGGAAGUGCGAACGUAGAGGGUGAUAUUCCCGUACACGAAAGGGCACACAUAAUGAUGACGAGUAGGGCGAGGCACGUGAAACCUUGUCUGAAUAUGGGGGGACCAUCCUCCAAGGCUAAAUACUCCUGACUGACCGAUAGUGAACCAGUACCGUGAGGGAAAGGCGAAAAGAACCCCUGUGAGGGGAGUGAAAUAGAUCCUGAAACCGCAUGCAUACAAGCAGUGGGAGCACCUUCGUGGUGUGACUGCGUACCUUUUGUAUAAUGGGUCAGCGACUUAUAUUCAGUAGCGAGGUUAACCGUAUAGGGGAGCCGUAGAGAAAUCGAGUCUUAAUAGGGCGUUUAGUUGCUGGGUAUAGACCCGAAACCAGGCGAUCUAUCCAUGAGCAGGUUGAAGGUUGGGUAACACUAACUGGAGGACCGAACCCACUGUCGUUGAAAAGCCAGGGGAUGACUUGUGGAUAGGGGUGAAAGGCUAAUCAAGCCUGGUGAUAGCUGGUUCUCCCCGAAAGCUAUUUAGGUAGCGCCUCGGACGAAUACCAUAGGGGGUAGAGCACUGUUUCGGCUAGGGGGUCAUCCCGACUUACCAAACCGAUGCAAACUCCGAAUACCUAUGAGUACUAUCCGGGAGACAGACUGCGGGUGCUAACGUCCGUAGUCAAGAGGAAAACAAUCCAGACCGCCAGCUAAGGCCCCAAAAUCAUAGUUAAGUGGGAAACGAUGUGGGAAGGCAUAGACAGCUAGGAGGUUGGCUUAGAAGCAGCCACCCUUUAAAGAAAGCGUAAUAGCUCACUAGUCGAGUCGGCCUGCGCGGAAGAUGUAACGGGGCUAAAACUAUGUGCCGAAGCUGCGGAUGUAUACUUUGUAUACGUGGUAGGGGAGCGUUCUGUAAGCCGAUGAAGGUGUGUUGAGAAGCAUGCUGGAGGUAUCAGAAGUGCGAAUGCUGACGUGAGUAACGACAAAACGGGUGAAAAACCCGUUCGCCGAAAGACCAAGGGUUCCAGUCCAACGUUAAUCGGGGCUGGGUGAGUCGACCCCUAAGGCGAGGCCGAAAGGCGUAGUCGAUGGGAAAAUGGUUAAUAUUCCAUUACUUCUGUGUAAUGCGAUGAGAGGACGGAGAAGGCUAAAUCAGCCUGGCGUUGGUUGUCCAGGUGAAAGGAUGUAGGCAUGUAUCUUAGGCAAAUCCGGGGUACUCUAUGCUGAGAUCUGAUAGCAAGCUGUACUUGUACAGCGAAGUGGUUGAUGCCAUGCUUCCAGGAAAAGUCUCUAAGCUUCAGUUACACAGGAAUCGUACCCGAAACCGACACAGGUGGUCAGGUCGAGUAGACCAAGGCGCUUGAGAGAACUCUGCUGAAGGAACUAGGCAAAAUGGUACCGUAACUUCGGGAGAAGGUACGCUGUUGUUGGUGAUGGAACUCGCUUCCUGAGCUGACGACAGCCGCAGAAACCAGGCCGCUGCAACUGUUUAUUAAAAACAUAGCACUCUGCAAACACGAAAGUGGACGUAUAGGGUGUGAUGCCUGCCCGGUGCUGGAAGGUUAAUUGAUGGGGUUAGCGUAAGCGAAGCUCUUGAUCGAAGCCCCAGUAAACGGCGGCCGUAACUAUAACGGUCCUAAGGUAGCGAAAUUCCUUGUCGGGUAAGUUCCGACCUGCACGAAUGGCAUAAUGAUGGCGGCGCUGUCUCCAGCAGAGGCUCAGUGAAAUCGAAAUCGCUGUGAAGAUGCAGUGUACCCGCGGCUAGACGGAAAGACCCCGUGAACCUUUACUGCAGCUUGACACUGAACUUUGACCUUACUUGUGUAGGAUAGGUGGGAGGCUUUGAAGCUGGAACGCUAGUUCCAGUGGAGCCGUCCUUGAAAUACCACCCUGGUAAUGUUGAGGUUCUAACUCUGUCCCGUGAUCCGGGACGAGGACCGUGUCUGGUGGGUAGUUUGACUGGGGCGGUCUCCUCCUAAAGAGUAACGGAGGAGUACGAAGGUGCGCUCAGCGUGGUCGGAAAUCACGCGUAGAGUAUAAAGGCAAAAGCGCGCUUAACUGCGAGACCCACAAGUCGAGCAGGUACGAAAGUAGGUCUUAGUGAUCCGGUGGUUCUGUAUGGAAGGGCCAUCGCUCAACGGAUAAAAGGUACUCUGGGGAUAACAGGCUGAUACCGCCCAAGAGUUCAUAUCGACGGCGGUGUUUGGCACCUCGAUGUCGGCUCAUCUCAUCCUGGGGCUGAAGCAGGUCCCAAGGGUAUGGCUGUUCGCCAUUUAAAGAGGUACGCGAGCUGGGUUUAGAACGUCGUGAGACAGUUCGGUCCCUAUCUACCGUGGGCGCUGGAAAUUUGAGAGGAUCUGCUCCUAGUACGAGAGGACCAGAGUGGACGAACCUCUGGUGUACCGGUUGUGACGCCAGUCGCAUCGCCGGGUAGCUAUGUUCGGAAGGGAUAACCGCUGAAAGCAUCUAAGCGGGAAGCCUACCUCAAGAUAAGAUUUCCCUAGGACUUUAUGUCCUCUAAAGAGCCGUUCGAGACUAGGACGUUGAUAGGUUGGAUGUGGAAGCAUAGUGAUAUGUGAAGCUGACCAAUACUAAUUGCUC
rnacentral:rRNA from 1 species